UAAACGUAGAUGGCGACCGGCGCACGGGUGAGUAACACGUAUCCAACCUGCCUCAUACUCGGGGAUAGCCUUUCGAAAGAAAGAUUAAUAUCCGAUAGCAUAUAUUUCCCGCAUGGGUUUUAUAUUAAAGAAAUUCGGUAUGAGAUGGGGAUGCGUUCCAUUAGUUUGUUGGGGGGGUAACGGCCCACCAAGACUACGAUGGAUAGGGGUUCUGAGAGGAAGGUCCCCCACAUUGGAACUGAGACACGGUCCAA
rnacentral:rRNA from 1 species